UGUAAGCGUAUACCAAAGUUGUUGCAGUUAAAACGCUCGUAGUCGGAAUUUGGCAGUUCCGGAAGUGUGCACGUCGUGUGCGCACUUUGCGGGGACUGCUUUUGUGGUCUUGCGUAGGAUGAGGCACUUUCAUUAGUGAACGUCCUCACGCAACCACUCUUUACUGUGAGAAAAUCAGAGUGCUCAAAGCAGGCAUUUGCCGUGAAUGUAUUAGCAUGGAAUAAUAGAAUAGGACUCUGUUCUAUUUUGUUGGUUUGUUGGGACUGAGUAAUGAUUAAGAGGGACAGUUGGGGGCAUUUGUAUUCCGGCGCUAGAGGUGAAAUUCUUAGAUUGCCGGAAGACAAACUGCUGCGAAAGCGUCUGCCAAGGAUGUUUUCAUUGA
rnacentral:rRNA from 1 species